ACUCCUACGGGAGGCAGCAGUGAGGAAUAUUGGACAAUGGAGGCAACUCUGAUCCAGCCAUGCCGCGUGCAGGAAGACUGCCCUAUGGGUUGUAAACUGCUUUUAUACAGGAAGAAACACCUCCUACGUGUAGAGGUCUUGACGGUACUGUAAGAUAAGGNCGGCUAACUCC
rnacentral:rRNA from 1 species